GUGAAUUGUAGUCUACCAGGCUCCUCUGUCCAUGGAAUUUUCCAGGCAAGAAUAGUGGAGUGGGUUGCCAUUUCCUUCUCCAGGGAUCUUCCCAACCCAGGGAUCAAAUCCAUGUCUCUUGCAUCUCGUAUCUCCUGCAUCAGCAGAUGGAUUCUUUACCACUAGCACCACCUCGGAAGCCCAAUGACCUUAUAACUGAGAAGGACAGAGCUGUUUUGUCCGGAUACUUGCAGAACAUCAUUUCCAGACUGAACAUCGCCGUACUUGUCAGCAUCAGCAGGGGAGUGACUGCUGCUUAUCUGAUGCUGAGACAGACAACCAGCCCAACAUCUGAAAGCCUUUUAUUUUCCUGUGGAACAGAUGUGGAAAAAGAAUCUGGGCGAGGCCUUAUGCUGCCUGCACCGUGGAAGCUGUUUCCCAGGUCUUCUCCACGAGGGAAACUGUUUCAGCCCUCUCACCCGUCUCUUCUGAAAAAGCCUGGAGACUGACUUACAUUCUGCAGCAUCACCGCCUUGGACAUCUGAGUCAGAGAACCUAGCAGAACACUGGAGCCUGGAGAAGAGAAAUCUGAGGAUUCAUGCUCACAUCGCCUGUUCCCAUCCACCGACACACAGCUUCUAUUGUGUAGCCCCUCUCCCGUGGCCCCGGUUCUCUUGGGUUUCGUAACGUUCCUUCCUUCUCUGGUCCUUCCAGGCUUCGAGGGAGUUGUUACCAGCUCCCAGCUGGGCAUGAAGACUGUCCUUCUGACUGUUGGUUCUCUCAACCCUGCUCAACCAACAGAAAUACUGCUGUCACGUCCGACUCUUUGCUACCCUGUGGACUGUAACUUGAUGGGCUCCUCUGUCCAUGGAAUUCUCCAGACAAGAAUACUGGAGUGGGCUGCCAUUUCCUCCUCCAGAGGAUCUCCCUGACCCAGGGCCUGAACCCAGGUCUCCUGCAAAGGAGGCAGAUUCUUUACCCUCUGAGCCACCAGGGAAACCCUGCUCAUACCUCUAUGAAUAAGCCCUUUGUUAAAAAGCCUUUGGUUACCCCUUUGAGCCUAUUUUCUGCUGAAACUGAUUGCUAUGACACCUGCAGGUAUCACAUGGUAAGAAAGACGGGGUGAAUAUCUUGGAGGCAAGCACGUGUAUUUGAUGUUUUUGGAGUUAACAGUGGGUUCAGAUUAAAAUGACCUAGAUUCUACUCUUAGUUCUGCAUGUAACUGCUUUGUGACCUUGAUAACAUUAAUCAUCCUCUUAGAAACUCAACUUCCUCAUUCAUAAAGUGGGGAUAAUAUUUAACUCUCAGUCUCACUGUAUAAAUGAAACCGUAAAAGCUUAAUAUAGUCAUCCACUGCUUUUUCCUGAAUUUCUAUCUCCUUUGGUUUCUGAUAGCAUUUUAGAAAUAACUAAUAACUAUGAUAGGGGUUGUCCCCAGUAUUAUCUUUCCAGUCCAGUCUCCUAAUAUCUCCUGGAUUCCACUUCACAUCCUAAAAGAUCCUGCGAGCAGCAGCCCUGGCACCCAAACCCAGAUCUAGUGAGCUCAGUGUCUGUGUGAGGACCACCCAGGCUAGGAGUGGCCCACUUUGGGGCAAAUCUUUUUCCAUCACUCGCACCUUCCCCAAGCCCACCCAUAAAACCUUUCCUUAUACUCACUUUUCUGAGAUGCAGUUAAGUGGCUUGGACUAAGUGCCUUGUUUAAGACUUUGCCUGAGUAUUUUCAGAGUUUUUGUAGGAAAGCCUUUUUUGGCUUUCUCCGUGGUGGGCCAAGAAGGGCUUGUGCUUAAAAGAUUCCCACUCUGACUAUCCUAGGUUUCUGCUUCUCUAUGGAAUUUAUUUGGGAAUGUUGAAGGAAGAAAAGCCCAACAAGUUCUCUUCCCUGAAAGCAAAGCAAGUAAAUAUGCAAACUGCAAUAUGUGUAUAAAUUUGUUUUACAAUAAAAGCCUCCUUUUAUUGUAGCCCA
ensembl:lncRNA